rnacentral:rRNA from 1 species
CACGUAGGGGACGAGCGUUGUCCGGAAUUAUUGGGCGUAAAGAGCUCGUAGGCGGUCUGUCGCGUCUGUUGUGAAAACUCGAGGCUCAACCUCGGGCUUGCAGUGGAUACGGGCAGACUAGAGUGCGGUAGGGGAGACUGGAAUUCCUGGUGUAGCGGUGGAAUGCGCAGAUAUCUGGAGGAAUACCGGUGGCGAAGGCGGCAUCCUGGACCAUUUACUGACGCUGAGGAGCGAAAGCAUGGGGAGCGAACAGG